rnacentral:lncRNA from 1 species
AUGCAAUAUAAGGAAUAUAUCAGCUUGGUAAAAGAUUUCUGUGCAUGGAAGAGGAAGCUAUAUCCAGAAUUCUUUGGACAGGAAACACUGGACUCAGUUUCAGAGUUUUCAUCCAUGAAGGCUGGAGAAAAUCUGCCUGGAACUCUCACUGCAAAGAGUCAUAGCCCUGUUCUUAAAGCUAGAAGCAUGUCUGGAGAUGUAUGCAAUGGGUGAUAUUUUAUAGAUUGGUUUAUA